AUUGCAGGCUGCAACCCGCCUGCAUGAAGUCGGAAUUGCUAGUAAUCGCGGAUCAGCAUGCCGCGGUGAAUACGUUCCCGGGCCUUGUACACACCGCCCCGUCACACCAUGGGAGCCGGUAAUACCCGAAGUCAGUAGUCCAACCUCGUGAGGACGCUGCCGAAGGUAGGAUUGGCGACUGGGGUGAAGUCGUAACAAGGUAGC
rnacentral:rRNA from 1 species